rnacentral:rRNA from 1 species
UACGGGGGGGGCAAGCGUUGUUCGGAAUUACUGGGCGUAAAGGGCUCGUAGGCGGCCAACUAAGUCAGACGUGAAAUCCCUCGGCUUAACCGGGGAACUGCGUCUGAUACUGGAUGGCUUGAGAUUGGGAGAGGGAUGCGGAAUUCCAGGUGUAGCGGUGAAAUGCGUAGAUAUCUGGAGGAACACCGGUGGCGAAGGCGGCAUCCUGGACCAACACUGACGCUGAGUGAGCGAAAGCCAGGGGGGCAAACGGG